GAUGAACGCUGGCGGCGUGCCUAAUACAUGCGAGUCGAGCGAACAGACGAGGAGCUUGCUCCUCUGACGUUAGCGGCGGACGGGUGAGUAACACGUGGAUAACCUACCUAUAAGACUGGGAUAACUUCGGGAAACCGGAGCUAAUACCGGAUAAUAUAUUGAACCGCAUGGUUCAAUAGUGAAAGACGGUUUUGCUGUCACUUAUAGAUGGAUCCGCGCCGCAUUAGCUAGUUGGUAAGGUAACGGCUUACCAAGGCAACGAUGCGUAGCCGACCUGAGAGGGUGAACGGCCACACUGGAACUGAGACACGGUCCAGACUCCGACGGGAGGCAGCAGUAGGGAAUCUUCCGCAAUGGGCGAAAGCCUGACGGAGCAACGCCGCGUGAGUGAUGAAGGUCUUCGGAUCGUAAAACUCUGUUAUUAGGGAAGAACAAAUGUGUAAGUAACUAUGCACGUCUUGACGGUACCUAAUCAGAAAGCCACGGCUAACUACGUG
rnacentral:rRNA from 1 species